rnacentral:ncRNA from 2 species
GAACCCUUGGAGAGAUCCGUGUGCAACAUUUAGCACUCACGGACGCCGAAGGCGCAAAGAAGCCAUAAAAAAAGGCUUUUCAAACGCUCAGGCAAAAGGACAGGGGCAGG